rnacentral:lncRNA from 1 species
GUCCAAAUACCCAUUGUAUAUUGUUUCUGUCUUUGCAAUAUAUUAGAAAUAAAAUAAUACAAUAUCCAUACUUUAGUAUAGAUAGCUAGCCUUAGCCCAUGCAUGAACAUGCGGAUGUGGAGUGUAUCCAUGAAUUUUUCAGCCAUUGCACUGCCCAAUGCACGUCCCUUCCAUUUUACUAUAGUAUAAAGGACAUGUUCUUUGUAGUUUAAAUAAAAAUUUAAUUGAAUCAUACAGUGCUACUACAUUUAAAAUGAAAAAUACUCAUAUAUUACCAAUAAUAACUUGUUCCGCGUAUAUAAUAGUUAAUUAAAAAAUUUCAUCAAGAAU